ensembl:lncRNA
GACCUGGUAGUGGACCAGUGUCAACAUGACUGAGAAGACACAUGACCUGGUAGUGGACCAGUGUCAACAUGACUGAGAAGACACAUGACCUGGUAGUAGACCAGUGUCAACAUGACUGAGAAGACACAUGACCUAGUAGUAGAUCAGUGUCAACCUGACUGAGAAGACACAUGACCUGGUAUGAAAGACAAAACAAAACAAGAUGGGAAAUAUUAUCGACAUUCCAUUACACUUUUCACUGGCUGUCCCUCAGGUUGUGGCAGGAGGACACAUUGUGGCUUUUCACCCAAUAAAUAUUUUUAUUUUUUCUUCAUUUUUUAUAGUUUCAAAUUCUUUGUAUUGAAUUAUAAUUUUGGGAAAAAAAUAUUCUCUUAGGUCUGAGUAUUUGUCACAGUGUAGUAGGAAAUGCAUCUCUGUCUCUACCUCUCCCCUGGAGCAGAGUGAGCACAGACUGUCCUCUCUGGGCAGCCAGGUUUGUCUGUGACGACCGGUCUCUAUAGCCAGACUGUCCUCUCUGGACAGCCAGGUUUGUCUGUGACGACCGGUCUCUAUAGCCAGACUGUCCUCUCUGGACAGCCAGGUUUGUCUGUGACGACCGGUCUCUAUAGCCAGACUGUCCUCUCUGGGCAGCUAGGUUUGUCUGUGACGACCGGUCUCUAUAGCCAGACUGUCCUCUCUGGGCAGCCAGGUUUGUCUGUGACGACCGGUCUCUAUAGCCAGACUGUCCUCUCUGGGCAGCCAGGUUUGUCUGUGACGACCGGUCUCUAUAGCCAGACUGUGCUCACUGAGUCUGUACCUAGUCAAUGUUUUCCUCAGUUUUCUAUCAGUCACAGUGGUCAGAUAGUCUGCCACCAUGUACUGUCUGUUUAGAGACAAAUAGCAUUGAAGUUUACUCAGAUUUUUUGUGGUGUCUUUCCAAAAGAUGAUUUAUUUUUGUUCUGGGCUCUUUGUUAUAUUGCUGUAGAGGGUUGUAAGCUGUUUUCUCCACAUAGCCAGUUCCUCCUGAUGAGGUUUGUUUCAUUUAUUCCAAUUCUCCCAGAAGUGGUUAGAUUCUAUGGAUUCCUGAAUUCUAUCCAGCUGAUUUUCUGCUCCGUUUUUUGUUCUUAAGUGUGUAUUGCUUAAGUGUGUAUUGCUUAAGUGUGUAUUGCUUAAGUGUGUAUUGCUUAAGUGUGUAUUGCUUAAGUGUGUAUUGCUUAAGUGUGUAUUGCUUAAGUGUGUAUUGCUUCAAUGUUUCUCCAUAUUGAAGGUGUAUAUUUAUGUUGUCUAGUUCUCUG